AACUAACAAUUAGGUCAAGUCGUCGAGACUCAAGUUCACUUUCACCAAAAACUGCUGAAUCAUUGAUUUGCUGCCAAGACUGGUUAAGAACUAGUGAAAAUAUGACUGAUCUUAGUGGAGAACCAGAGGAAUAUUUAAAACUGGAAAAACUCGAAGAUGAUGAGCUUAAAGUUGAAGUAAUGUUUCAAAAGUUGGACAUCGAUGAUUAAUGAAAAUCAGUAAAUCUCUGUCCAUGUUCACUUUCAAUUUUCUUUAUUAACUAGGUCGCAUAGGCUACUGGCUUCUCUCUUUUGGCAAUGGAUUUGCGGAAGACUUUUCUACAGGCCAUGUAGUAUGAUAAUUUGUUUAUGUCAUUUUGUAAAAGACUAUUUUGAUUAUCAUCUGUAGAAGUUUAAACAGAGAAUGUACUUUUGUUAUUUGGUGUUGAAACUUCAAAUUCACCACUGUAUUUAUUUUAA